rnacentral:rRNA from 1 species
UACGUAGGUGACCAGCGUUGUCCGGAUUUACUGGGCGUAAAGAGCGCGCAGGCGGUCGUUCAAGUCGAGUGUGAAAGCCCCCGGCUCAACUGGGGAGGGUCAUUCGAUACUGAUCGACUGGAAGGCAGGAGAGGGAAGCGGAAUUCCCGGUGUAGUGGUGAAAUGCGUAGAUAUCAGGAGGAACACCGAUGGCGAAGGCAGGUCUCUGGGCUGACACUGACGCUCAUGCACGAAAGCGUGGGGAGCAAACAGG